CGUUCCGAGGAGCGUUGCGAUGGGGCCCCACCCGCGGCAUCCACCAGGCUCGGACGGGCGGCCCGCACCCCUUGUGGCCGCACAACAACGGCGCUCACCGACC
rnacentral:ncRNA from 1 species